rnacentral:rRNA from 1 species
UACGAAGGGGGCUAGCGUUGCUCGGAAUCACUGGGCGUAAAGCGCACGUAGGCGGCUUUCUAAGUCAGGGGUGAAAUCCUGGAGCUCAACUCCAGAACUGCCUUUGAUACUGGGAAGCUCGAGUCCGGAAGAGGGUGAGUGGAAUUCCUGGAUGUAGCGGUGAAAUGCGCAGAUAUCAGGAGGAACACCAAUGGCGAAGGCAGCUCGCUGGGACGGUACUGACGCUGAGACGCGAAAGCGUGGGGAGCAAACAGG